rnacentral:rRNA from 1 species
UCAGGAUGAACGCUGGCGGCGUGCUUAACACAUGCAAGUCGAACGGUGAAGCCAAGCUUGCUUGGUGGAUCAGUGGCGAACGGGUGAGUAACACGUGAGCAACCUGCCCUGGACUCUGGGAUAAGCGCUGGAAACGGUGUCUAAUACUGGAUAUGAGCUCUCACUGCAUGGUGGGGGUUGGAAAGAUUUUUCGGUCUGGGAUGGGCUCGCGGCCUAUCAGCUUGUUGGUGAGGUAAUGGCUCACCAAGGCGUCGACGGGUAGCCGGCCUGAGAGGGUGACCGGCCACACUGGGACUGAGACACGGCCCAGACUCCUACGGGAGGCAGCAGUGGGGAAUAUUGCACAAUGGGCGGAAGCCUGAUGCAGCAACGCCGCGUGAGGGAUGACGGCCUUCGGGUUGUAAACCUCUUUUAGCAAGGAAGAAGCGAAAGUGACGGUACUGCAGAA